GGACCCGCACAAGUAGUGGAGCAUGUGGUUUAAUUCGAAGAUACGCGCAGAACCUUACCAACACUUGACAUGUUCGUCGCGACUCUAAGAGAUUAGAGUUUUCGGUUCGGCCGGACGAAACACAGGUGCUGCAUGGCUGUCGUCAGCUCGUGUCGUGAGAUGUUGGGUUAAGUCCCGCAACGAGCGCAACCCUCACUUUUAGUUGCCAUCAUUAAGUUGGGCACUCUGAAAGAACUGCCAGUGAUAAGCUGGAGGAAGGUGGGGAUGACGUCAAGUCCUCAUGGCCCUUACGUGUUGGGCUACACACGUGCUACAAUGGUAGGUACAGAGGGCAGCUACCCCCGCGAGGGGAUGCGAA
rnacentral:rRNA from 1 species